UACGGGAGGCAGCAGUGGGGAAUAUUGCACAAUGGGCGCAAGCCUGAUGCAGCCAUGCCGCGUGUAUGAAAAAGGCCUUCGGGUUGUAAAGUACUUUCAGUCGUGAGGAAGGUGUUAAGGUUAAUAACCUUAGCAAUUGACGUUAGCGACAGAAGAAGCACCGGCUAACUCCGUGCCAGCAGCCGCGGUAAUACGGAGGGUGCGAGCGUUAAUCGGAAUUACUGGGCGUAAAGGGCACGCAGGCGGUUAAUUAAGUUGGAUGUGAAAUCCCCGGGCUUAACCUGGGAAUGGCAUUCAAGACUGGUUAGCUAGAGUCUUGUAGAGGGGGUUAGAAUUCCAUGUGUAGCGGUGAAAUGCGUAGAGAUGUGGAGGAAUACCGGUGGCGAAGGCGGCCCCUGGACAAAGACUGACGCUCAUGUGCGAAAGCGUGGGGAGCGAAACAGGGAUUAGAUACCCGU
rnacentral:rRNA from 1 species